UCCCUAGUAGUCUAGGCGGUUAGGAUAUCUCGCUCUCACCGAGGUGACCCGGGUUCGAGUCCCGGCUAGGGAG
rfam:Aphanomyces invadans strain NJM9701 unplaced genomic scaffold supercont1.34, whole genome shotgun sequence.